AACGAACGUUAGCGGCGCGCCUAACACAUGCAAGUCGCACGAGAAAGGGCUUCGGCCCCGGUACAGUGGCGCACGGGUGAGUAACACGUAGGUAAUCUGCCCUUGAGUGGUGGAUAACCCUCCGAAAGGAGGGCUAAUACAGCAUGAGACCACGGCAUCUACGGAUGCAGGGGUCAAAGUGGGCCUCUUUAUAAAAGCUCACGCUUGAGGAUGAACCUGCGGCCCAUCAGCUAGUUGGUAGGGUAAUAGCCUACCAAGGCAAAGACGGGUAGCUGGUCUGAGAGGAUGAACAGCCACACUGGAACUGAGACACGGUCCAGACUCCUACGGGUGGCUG
rnacentral:rRNA from 1 species